rnacentral:rRNA from 1 species
GACGAACGCUGGCGGCGUGCUUAACACAUGCAAGUCGAACGGAAAGGCCCUGCUUUUGUGGGGUGCUCGGGUGGCGAACGGGUGAGUAACACGUGAGUAACCUGCCCUUGACUUUGGGAUAACUUCAGGAAACUGGGGCUAAUACCGGAUAGGAGCUCCUGCUGCAUGGUGGGGGUUGGAAAGUUUCGGCGGUUGGGGAUGGACUCGCGGCUUAUCAGCUUGUUGGUGGGGUAGUGGCUUACCAAGGCUUUGACGGGUAGCCGGCCUGAGAGGGUGACCGGCCACAUUGGGACUGAGAUACGGCCCAGACUCCUACGGGAGGCAGCAGUGGGGAAUAUUGCACAAUGGGCGGAAGCCUGAUGCAGCAACGCCGCGUGCGGGAUGACGGCCUUCGGGUUGUAAACCGCUUUCGCCUGUGACGAAGCGUGAGUGACGGUAAUGGGUGAAGAAGCACCGGCUAACUACGUG